rnacentral:rRNA from 1 species
CCUACGGGGGGCUGCAGUGGGGAAUAUUGGACAAUGGGGGCAACCCUGAUCCAGCCAUGCCGCGUGUGUGAAGAAGGCCCUCGGGUUGUAAAGCACUUUCAGUGAGGAAGAACGCCUGGUGGUUAAUACCCAUCAGGAAAGACAUCACUCACAGAAGAAGCACCGGCUAACUCCGUGCCAGCAGCCGCGGUAAUACGGAGGGUGCGAGCGUUAAUCGGAAUUACUGGGCGUAAAGCGCGCGUAGGUGGCUUGAUAAGCCGGUUGUGAAAGCCCCGGGCUCAACCUGGGAACGGCAGCCGGAACUGUCAAGCUAGAGUGCAGGAGAGGAAGGUAGAAUUCCCGGUGUAGCGGUGAAAUGCGUAGAGAUCGGGAGGAAUACCAGUGGCGAAGGCGGCCUUCUGGACUGACACUGACACUGAGGUGCGAAAGCGUGGGUAGCAAACAGGAUUAGAUACCCUAGUAGUC